UACGAAGGGGGCUAGCGUUGCCCGGAAUCACUGGGCGUAAAGGGCGCGUAGGCGGCUUUAUAAGUCGGGGGUGAAAGCCUGUGGCUCAACCACAGAAUUGCCUUCGAUACUGUAGAGCUUGAGACCGGAAGAGGUAAGUGGAACUGCGAGUGUAGAGGUGAAAUUCGUAGAUAUUCGCAAGAACACCAGUGGCGAAGGCGGCUUACUGGGCCGGUUCUGACGCUGAGGCGCGAAAGCGUGGGGAGCAAACAGG
rnacentral:rRNA from 1 species